UACGUAGGGGGCUAGCGUUGUCCGGAAUCAUUGGGCGUAAAGCGCGUGUAGGCGGCCCGGUAAGUCCGCUGUGAAAGUCGGGGGCUCAACCCUCGGAUGCCGGUGGAUACUGUCGGGCUAGAGUGCGGAAGAGGCGAGUGGAAUUCCUGGUGUAGCGGUGGAAUGCGCAGAUAUCAGGAGGAACACCAAUAGCGAAGGCAGCUCGCUGGGACGGUAUUGACGCUGAGGCGCGAAAGCGUGGGGAGCAAACAGG
rnacentral:rRNA from 1 species